rnacentral:rRNA from 1 species
UACGGAGGGUGCAAGCGUUAUCCGGAAUCAUUGGGUUUAAAGGGUGCGCAGGCGGAAUUUUAAGUCAGUGGUGAAAUCCCUUCGCUUAACGAAGGAACUGCCAUUGAUACUGAAAUUCUUGAAUUUGGUUGGCGUGGGCGGAAUGUGCCAUGUAGCGGUGAAAUGCUUAGAUAUGGCACAGAACACCGAUCGCGAAGGCAGCUCACGAAACCAACAUUGACGCUCAGGCACGAAAGCAUGGGGAGCAAAC